rnacentral:lncRNA from 1 species
AAAUAUAAAUACACUGAUAUAUAUAUUUAAGAGUCAGUAAUAACCAAAAUAAUUGAUUUUAUAAUAGAAAAUAAUUUGGAAAACCAAAUUUUUGAGAAUUUAUGCUCAACUUGUUCUAAUAAUUCCUAAUUUAUGCCUAAGUUGUCUACUGUGUAGUCUUCUAAAUUGAGAUGCAACAAACUUAAAGUCUUCAGCUAUGAGUGCAAGGCUUCAACUUCUGAGAUAGCUUUAAGUGUUCUUGUUGAAGAAGGGAGUAUCACACUUGGUCUUGGAUCUAAGACCCAUGUUAACAGUUCUUCACCACAAAAAUCACCUGGUCCAAUUCAACAUGAGUUGAAGAAUCCGACUCAGCCUCCAUUUGUGGUGUAAGAAUCAAGAUUUCCUCGGAUUAUAAAUAGCAUCUCGUUCACUGGAUCACCUUAGUCUUGGAUAAGUUCCUUCAGUGCACAAUGCAGGCUUUAGUCUUUCGCAUAUUGCGUCUAUCAUCCUCUCAUCCAUUUGAUCAAAUAAUGGAACCUAUUAAAAAAAAAAUUCACAUGUGUCCUUCAAUAUAAUCAUGAUAGAGAUUGAUAAUCAGGGUUUUAAAGAAAGAUCUGCAACCGCAAUAUAGAUUGUGACAUCAAGAAUUUUUAUGUCUUCACCCCAUGAUUGAGGUUGCAUCAGCCAAAUUUGAGUGUGAUUUCCCUAGGAUAUCAAAGAUCGCGACAUGGUCAUGACCGGAAUUAAAAACUGUCUAGACAGAGGUGGCGUUUGAUGUCUCUCCUAAGAUCAAUUGGAAGUCCUUUAAGAAGAUCUUCUUCGUCUAAAUCAUAUUGUCUCAUGACUUACUCUUCGAAUUAGUUCGUAAAAUAAUUUCAAUAAUUAAAGAGCAAGGACAAAAACACUUCCAUCUUGAUAUCAAGAUUUGUAGCUUCUAAGCAUGAAUUCAUCAUUAUAUUUUGCUCAACAUGAUUACAUAAAACAACUAGAUAAAUGUAGAAAGGGUCCAAAAUACUUGCCUUAGAUUCCUUAAGCCCCACCAGAGACAAAAGAAGUACUUAUUGAAGAAUGGAGAGGAUGUAACUUGUGAAGUCAUGGCAUCAGCAUAUAUACUAUAAACUGAUAAAAGUCAGCAUUUGGUGAACAUAAAUUUGUGAUAUUAUUAGCUAAAAACCAGGUGACCCUGAGGGCUUCUUUAACCCUGUGGCAAUCAAAGAAUCCAUAUUCACAAUACGAUUUCUCCAUUUUGCAAACAUUUCUCCAACAUGCUUCUUGACGUUCAAUUGAUAGAAGGUACCAGCAAGCUCCUAAAAUCUAUUAAGAAUAUUUCCCAUUAGAGCACAAAAAUAAAAGCAUGAGUAAGUUUGGAAAUGGUAUUUCAAUUUUUCUGUAUUACAUUUUUUGUGAUGGCUUUUCUGUCAUAUUAAUGUGAUUUGCCAGCAAAAGAAGAAACAAAAUAUUCAUAACAUCCAUUGGUGAAAAAUAUUUUCAAGAUUAGCACCCUCUGCUAAAAGUGUCAUCCUAAGUUAUAUGUUGUUAUUUUAUAAAUUUGAUAAAUACAUUCCACAUUCUAGUUCAGCCUGAUAAGCAGCAUUGCGAAUUGCGGGUUCGCGAAAAAUAGCAAUAUGUUCAAAGUUCAUUAAAUGAUUGAGGUUGCAUCAGCCAAAUUUGAGUGUGAUUUCCCUAGGAUAUCAAAGAUCGCGACAUGGUCAUGACCGGAAUUAAAAACUGUCUAGACAGAGGUGGCGUUUGAUGUCUCUCCUAAGAUCAAUUGGAAGUCCUUUAAGAAGAUCUUCUUCGUCUAAAUCAUAUUGUCUCAUGACUUACUCUUCGAAUUAGUUCGUAAAAGAAUUUCAAUAAUUAAAGAGCAAGGACAAAAACACUUCCCUCUUGAUAUCAAGAUUUGUAGCUUCUAAGCAUGAAUUCAUCAUUAUAUUUUGCUCAACAUGAUUACAUAAAACAACUAGAUAAAUGUAGAAAGGGUCCAAAAUACUUGCCUUAGAUUCCUUAAGCCCCACCAGAGACAAAAGAAGUACUUAUUGAAGAAUGGAGAGGAUGUAACUUGUGAAGUCAUGGCAUCAGCAUAUAUACUAUAAACUGAUAAAAGUCAGCAUUUGGUGAACAUAAAUUUGUGAUAUUAUUAGCUAAAAACCAGGUGACCCUGAGGGCUUCUUUAACCCUGUGGCAAUCAAAGAAUCCA